rnacentral:misc_RNA from 1 species
GAUGAAGAACGCAGUGAAAUGCGAUAAGUAGUGUGAAUUGCAGAAUUCAGUGAAUCAUCGAAUCUUUGAACGCACAUUGCGCCCCUUGGUAUUCCAUGGGGCAUGCCUGUUCGAGCGUCAUUUGUACCCUCAAGCUAUGCUUGGUGUUGGGUGUUUGUCCUCUCCUUUUGCGAUUGGACUCGCCUUAAAGACAUUGGCAGCCAGUGUAUUGGUCUUGAAGCGCAGCACAUUUUGCGAUUCUUGCUGAUAAUCACUAGCGUCCAGUAAGCCUAUUUUAACACUUUUGACCUCGGAUCAGGUAGGGAUACCCGCUGAACUUAAGCAUAUCAUAAGCGGAGGA